GGGCCCGGGGCGGGGACAGCGGCCGCCCCGCCCGGCUCGGGAACGGGAACGGGAACGGGGACUCCCGGGAUGGGAGCGGGACACUACCGCAGCGUGACCGCGGGGCACGGCCCGGUACUGUGCGGUCCCGGUCCGGUCCAGGCACAGCUCCGGUACAGUCUUGGUACAGUCCUGACACGGUCCCGGCACAGUGCAGGGGACACGGGCACCUGAAGGGUCCCAGCCUUCCAUGGACACCCCGCAUUCCUGCCCGAGGACACAGACAGGGACACGGACACCCAUGGCCGCCAGCCAGGCAGCGCCUCGAGCCGCCGGCGCUGCAUCCCGCUCAAAGGCCGGAUUGUUCCCAGCGCAGCGGGAGCCUGGCCAGCCCAGCGCUGGCGCUGUGCGGUACUGCGGGGGGACGAGAGGCAUCCGUGGGGUGGUGGGGUCCCCGCUGCCCUCACCCCUACGGGAACAUGUGUUCUGCCAGGGGUUGGGUCCGGUGUGCUGGGCAUGUCCGGGAAGGCGGCUGUGGCUGCUUUGCCGGGAUGUGGUUAUGGGCACAGGUGGGUGUUGGGAGCUGGCAGGGUGGGCGCUGCUGAGGGCACGUGCCCCCACUAAACCAGACCUCUUGUCCUGUCCCCCAGUGUCCUGCCCCAGAUUUCAUAGGCCCUCCUCAGAUCCUUUCCCUAAAUCCCCCUUACCUGCUCCCCCUAUUUACUUCCCCUCUAGCCCCUCCCCAUGCCUUCUCCCCAUUCUCCCCUCCUCAUAGUCCCCUUCCCACCUCUCCAUCCCAGAUCCCUCUGCCCAGACCCUCUCCCCACCGGGGGGGGGGGGGGGGGGGGGGGGGGGGGG
rnacentral:lncRNA from 12 species